UUGAACACUCUUUAGGCGACACGUCUGCUCUUCUCGACGAAACGUUUUAUGGAGUUGGAGGCUAAGUUCCUCGAGCUUCGAUUUCGCCACACGAAUGUACCGGAGGCUGUCAUGAAGACGCGGCGCAGUGACCAGUGUUUUCACUUGAAGAUGUUGCCGACCAUCAUGACUUCUCCGUGUUGUGGUCAACACUAUGGGCUCUGAACCGCAUGGACACUGGCAUCUCUGAGGCGAAAGAGCGGACCGAUGAACGCAUAGCUGUGUAACAUUGCGCUUACCAUAUCUUAGUGAUACCAGGAGCGUAACGUCUCCACAAACACUACAACAUGAAUACCAAAAUAAAGUUAGUAAAGUUCAUCUGCUAGCGAUCUGUGGGAAACCCCAAAAUACAUGGUCAAAUAAUCAUUUUCUUUUUUGAAUGGUCAUACGCAGAAUACAACACUGGCACAUGGAAUAAAUCUCCAACUGACAGGAACGUGUUUAGUCGUAUCACAUAUAUAUAUGCUGCACACACAGGCACAAUACUGUUCACUAAUGAACGACACCUCAGCACAAUCGGAACAGAAAUCACAACCGCGUACGAUCCACCUCAACCCGGGCCGUCACUGCAACACAGAGGCCUGGCUACACCUUUUACACUGCCCGCAGUCUUGUUUUAUGCAAAACUUACGAGACAAAUCAUGUAAGAACGCAAGUGAAUGUCAAACGCAAAUAAAUAGCAACAGCGUCUCA